GCUUGACGCAACGUCCAGCGCGCGCUUUUCAUGCCUUGGCGUUUCCUUUGGCGGAUUUUCUGUUUUCGGAAGUUGCUGGGUUCGUUUUAUUCAGCGGCAGUGGUGCUUUCCCGAAUCUCAGAAUGCCUCAUUUGAUCCUUCAAAAAUCACAAGGAAGAAAAGUGUUAUAACUUAUUCUCCAACAACUGGAACUUGUCAAAUGAGUCUAUUUGCUUCUCCCACAAGUUCUGAAGAGCAAAAGCACAGAAAUGGACUAUCAAAUGAAAAGAGAAAAAAAUUGAAUCACCCCAGUUUAACUGAAAGCAAAGAAUCUACAACAAAAGACAAUGAUGAAUUCAUGAUGUUGCUAUCAAAAGUUGAGAAAUUGUCAGAAGAAAUCAUGGAGAUAAUGCAAAAUUUAAGUAGUAUACAGGCUUUGGAGGGCAGUAGAGAGCUUGAAAAUCUCAUUGGAAUCUCCUGUGCAUCACAUUUCUUAAAAAGAGAAAUGCAGAAAACCAAAGAACUAAUGACAAAAGUGAAUAAACAAAAACUGUUUGAAAAGAGUACAGGACUUCCUCACAAAGUGGUUUUCUUUUUUCCUCAGAGAUCCCUGUUCUGAAGUAUGUUCCUUUAAAAGAUC
rnacentral:sRNA from 1 species